AUAUUCAUACUCUCGGUAAAUGAAUGAGGAGAGCCCCAUGUGGGAUUACAAACUUGCUGGAAAUGGAUGAGAAACCUUCUGCUCUGCUGGAGUUUAUCUUGAGUGUGCCUUAAAAUUCCAUUUCAUGGAGAACUGUGCGUGGUUGAAUUUUGAUUGAUUACUCAAUUAACUGAUGUAUUGGUAGAGUGAUUAAGAAAGAAGACUUUGGGAUCAGACCAACCUGGUUUUGAAUUCAAGCUCAGCAACUUACUAGGUAAGGAGGAGAAAAGAAAGAAGGAAAAAUUGGAAAGAUAAAUGGGGUCUUUCCAGUGAAGCCUCCAGGCCUCCAGACUGGAACUUAUACCACUGAUUCUUCUGAAUCUUAGGCCUUUGGACUUGGACUGGAACUAAACCAUCAGCUCUUCUUGUUCUACCACUUGCAGACUGUAUGUCUUGGGACAUGUCAGCCUCUGUAAUCACGCUCAAUUUUCCUACAUAAUUAAGAGUUUGGAAUUCGGGCAAUAUCAAGAACCACAUCUGUCCUGAAAUCAAUUAUCUCUGUUUGGAAUAUGGAUAUGAGAGAUCACUUUGCUGUGCUGUAAAUGAUCGAUUAAAAUACAUAUUUCUUUUGUCUCCUGGUACUUUCUUAUCCCAGUGCUGUGCUGAGCCAUAUUGGAGCCUAAGGCAAAAGGGACCAUCAGUAACACUAAUCCUGUCUUUAUUUAAAAUUUUGAUAUUUUGUUCAUCAUGGAUUUAUUUGCAUAAAUUUUAAUAUUGAAAUCUAUUGAUUAAAAUAUUAUGUAUCUU
rnacentral:lncRNA from 1 species